rnacentral:lncRNA from 1 species
AAAGGGACAGCGCAGAAACGACGACGGACCAACCUUCACGGAGCUACUCAAAAAGCAGUGCCCAUGGCACCCGACUAGCAAGCACUACGCAUUGGACUGUUACAGCAUGCGCCGAGUCAUGCAAGACUUGCCAGCACCACCAACUCCUGAAGAGUACGCCAAAAAUAGGGACAAGGGUAAAAACAAAGCCCGCAACGACGAAGAUGAGGACGGCGAUUUCCAACCAGCCUCAAAAAC